GGAUGGGUGCCCGAGUGGUCGAAGGGGACAGUCUGCUAAACUGUUAAACCCAUGUGGGUUUCGUGAGUUCGAAUCUCAUCCCAUCCG
rnacentral:tRNA from 1 species